AACCUUAGCAUUAGCAGAGUAAACACAGCGAUAAGUGAAGUUAUUUUGCAAAUAGAGUCGAUAACAACAGUUAAAUAAAAAAAAAAGAAGAUGUGCUCGCUGAGUUUCUCGAGGGGGGAAACACGUUUCCACCGUUUUUCUGACUGGAUUUGUCCGAAGCUUGAUUUAGUAAGUGGCUCUGUUGGUGAUAAAGAUGUUCCCCGGAUACAAAUACAAUGUUUAUAGUUGUUUUGCCACUAAUUGCUCUAAUGGAGGAGCAGAUACGAGGGGCUUCAGAGAGGGGCAACACUGCCAUGUUCACAAAAUUUCAGACAGACGACGAUGAGGCUGCCAGCUAAUAUCAGAAGUCCAAAGGAGAAAUGCCGAAAUAUGCAGUGUCACGAAAACCUCAUAGAAAUUGCUGUUGACGAGGAACAAGUCACAUACAAAUGAUCACACCUUUCUGUAACGGGCUCUGGCGUCUUUGAAGCGGCGGCUCAAGCUGUUAACUCUGUCAAUGAUGAGCUGCCAGUUUGCACAGCACUCUUGGACCGACCUGACACUGUGUUUGGAGAGAACGUCAUUCAUCUUCUCAAGGUAAGGAGAGCUGUACACCACC